GACGAACGCUGGCGGCGUGCCUAAUACAUGCAAGUUGAGCGCUGAAGGUUGGUACUUGUACCAACUGGAUGAGCAGCGAACGGGUGAGUAACGCGUGGGGAAUCUGCCUUUGAGCGGGGGACAACAUUUGGAAACGAAUGCUAAUACCGCAUAAAAACUUUAAACACAAGUUUUAAGUUUGAAAGAUGCAAUUGCAUCACUCAAAGAUGAUCCCGCGUUGUAUUAGCUAGUUGGUGAGGUAAAGGCUCACCAAGGCGAUGAUACAUAGCCGACCUGAGAGGGUGAUCGGCCACAUUGGGACUGAGACACGGCCCAAACUCCUACGGGAGGCAGCAGUAGGGAAUCUUCGGCAAUGGACGAAAGUCUGACCGAGCAACGCCGCGUGAGUGAAGAAGGUUUUCGGAUCGUAAAACUCUGUUGGUAGAGAAGAACGUUGGUGAGAGUGGAAAGCUCAUCAAGUGA
rnacentral:rRNA from 1 species